rnacentral:sRNA from 1 species
GUGAAUAAUGCCAACCUGACUCUCAUUAACACGCAGCCGUCAGGGAGCAUACUUUCUACUCAGGGCACUGACUGGACAUUCCCACUGGUCGUCUGCGCGAAAUCAAAAAAUCCUUGGGCAAGAUUUUCUAUUUCGCACAUUCGCAGGUGGUUUUGUUCACUCAGUGGCAUGCAUAGAACAUACACAUCUACAUAAACACAUGGCGGGGAGGCAAAAAAACUCAUACGGCACUACAGAAAAAACCUCCCGCCAUGUGCGACUUAAAAAGAAACAAUACUGCCCAAAUGGGGCACAAAAAGAACAGUAUAUCUAUAUGGAUCCAAGUGCCUCUGUUGUUCCACUACGAUUUCGAGGAGAAACUAUCCCACGGGAAUGGAUAGUUUGCCCUCACAAUCGCUCCGAACUUCAGGGUGCACUUGGCUCCACAAACAAACUAUACAUGCAAAACAAAAAAAAAAACAA